GCCAGCGGCCCCCGCCACAUGCCAUCACGUUGGGCGCGGCGGCGGAGGGCGCGGCCGUCACUAAGUGGCCAAAGAAGAAGAGAGGAAAGAAAUCAAAACGAAAAUUGUAGACCAAUAAAAAUAAAAUGUUU